GUGAAUCCCUAAGAAUGUCAGGUGAUCCUUUCUCCAGUCAUAUGUGUGUUUACCUUGUAGUGUAGUCAGUUGUUCUGUGGUGAGAUUUAGGCCCAUGGCUUGUGUCUUGCUGAUAUUGAGUUUAUAGUAGGAGCAAGCACUAAAUCGUGUUAGUAGCAUUUGGAGUUGCUCUAAUGAGGUGUCCGGGUUAGACAGUGUGAGCAUAACAUCGUCAGCGAACAAGGUGAUUUUCUGUGUAUUCCCUCCCACUUUAAUGCCU